rnacentral:rRNA from 1 species
UACAGAGGAGCCAAGCGUUGUCCGGAUUGACUGGGCGUAAAGCGCACGCAGGCGGACGCGCGCGUGGGGUGUGAAAUCUGGCCGCUUAACGGCCAGGCGCCAUCCCAUACGGCGCGUCUGGAGCUAUGCAGAGGUCGGUGGAAUUGCCGGUGUAGUGGUGAAAUGCGUAGAUAUCGGGAGGAACACCAGUGGCGAAGGCGACUUCCUGGCCUGUUCUUGACGCUGAGGCGCGAAAGCUAGGGGAGCAAACGGG